rnacentral:rRNA from 1 species
CCUACGGGUGGCAGCAGUGGGGAAUAUUGGACAAUGGGCGAAAGCCUGAUCCAGCCAUGCCGCGUGUGUGAAGAAGGCCUUCGGGUUGUAAAGCACUUUCAGUGGGGAAGAAAGCCUUGGGGCUAAUACCCUCGAGGAAGGACAUCACCCACAGAAGAAGCACCGGCUAACUCCGUGCCAGCAGCCGCGGUAAUACGGAGGGUGCGAGCGUUAAUCGGAAUUACUGGGCGUAAGGCGCGCGUAGGCGGUCUGAUAAGCCGGUUGUGAAAGCCCCGGGCUCAACCUGGGAACGGCAUCCGGAACUGUCAGGCUAGAGUGCAGGAGAGGAAGGUAGAAUUCCCGGUGUAGCGGUGAAAUGCGUAGAGAUCGGGAGGAAUACCAGUGGCGAAGGCGGCCUUCUGGACUGACACUGACGCUGAGGUGCGAAAGCGUGGGUAGCAAACAGGAUUAGAUACCCCUGUAGUC